rnacentral:rRNA from 1 species
CUGGCUCAGAUUGAACGCUGGCGGCAUGCCUUACACAUGCAAGUCGAACGGCAGCACGGGAGCAAUCCUGGUGGCGAGUGGCGAACGGGUGAGUAAUAUAUCGGAACGUGCCCAGUCGUGGGGGAUAACGCAGCGAAAGCUGUGCUAAUACCGCAUACGAUCUACGGAUGAAAGCGGGGGACCUGUAAGGGCCUCGCGCGAUUGGAGCGGCUGAUAUCAGAUUAGCUAGUUGGUGGGGUAAAGGCCUACCAAGGCGACGAUCUGUAGCUGGUCUGAGAGGACGACCAGCCACACUGGAACUGAGACACGGUCCAGACUCCUACGGGAGGCAGCAGUGGGGAAUUUUGGACAAUGGGCGAAAGCCUGAUCCAGCAAUGCCGCGUGCAGGAUGAAGGCCUUCGGGUUGUAAACUGCUUUUGUACGGAGCGAAAAGGCUUCUCCUAAUACGAGGGGCUCAUGACGGUACCGUAAGAAUAAGCACCGGCUAACUACGUGCCAGCAGCCGCGGUAAUACGUAGGGUGCGAGCGUUAAUCGGAAUUACUGGGCGUAAAGCGUGCGCAGGCGGUUUUGUAAGACAGAUGUGAAAUCCCCGGGCUCAACCUGGGACCUGCAUUUGUGACUGCAAGGCUAGAGUACGGUAGAGGGGGAUGGAAUUCCGCGUGUAGCAGUGAAAUGCGUAGAUAUGCGGAGGAACACCGAUGGCGAAGGCAAUCCCCUGGACCUGUACUGACGCUCAUGCACGAAAGCGUGGGGAGCAAACAGGAUUAGAUACCCUGGUAGUCCACGCCCUAAACGAUGUCAACUGGUUGUUGGGUCUUUACUGACUCAGUAACGAAGCUAAC